rnacentral:rRNA from 1 species
GACGAACGCUGGCGGCGUGCUUAACACAUGCAAGUCGAACGGAAAGGCCCUGCUUUUGUGGGGUGCUCGAGUGGCGAACGGGUGAGUAACACGUGAGUAACCUGCCCUUGACUUUGGGAUAACUUCAGGAAACUGGGGCUAAUACCGGAUAGGAGCUCCUGCUGCAUGGUGGGGGUUGGAAAGUUUCGGCGGUUGGGGAUGGACUCGCGGCUUAUCAGCUUGUUGGUGGGGUAGUGGCUUACCAAGGCUUUGACGGGUAGCCGGCCUGAGAGGGUGACCGGCCACAUUGGGACUGAGAUACGGCCCAGACUCGUACGGGAGGCAGCAGUGGGGAAUAUUGCACAAUGGGCGGAAGCCUGAUGCAGCAACGCCGCGUGCGGGAUGACGGCCUUCGGGUUGUAAACCGCUUUCGCCUGUGACGAAGCGUGAGUGACGGUAAUGGGUAAAGAAGCACCGGCUAACUACGUA